rnacentral:rRNA from 1 species
GCGACCCCAGGUCAGGCGGGACUACCCGCUGAUUUUA